GAUAUUAGCUACUGGUUUGCUGUAUAUUGCUUUUACUAUGUUUAGAUAUGGGCCUUGAAUUCCUGAUCUUUCCAGGACAUUUAUCAUAAAGGAGUGUUGAAUUUUGUCAAAUUCUUCCUCUGCAUCUAGUGAAAUAACCAUGUGGUUCUUAUUUUUGAGUUUGUUUCUAUAGUGGAUUACAUUGAUGGAUUUUUGUAUAUUAAACCUUCUCCGCAUCCCUGAGAUGAAGCCUACUUGGUCACAUUGGAUGAUCAUUUUGUUGUGUUCUUGGAUUCGGUUUGCAAGAAUUUUAUUGAGUAUUUUUGCGUCAAUAUUCAUAAGGGAAAUUGGUCUGAAGUUCUCUUUCUUUGUUGGGUCUUUGUGUGGUUUAGGUAUAAGAGUAAUUGCAGCUUCAUAGAAAGAAUUCGAUAGUGCUCUGUCUGUUUCAAAUUGGUGGAAUAGUUUGGACAAUAUUGGUAUGAGGUCUUCUAUAAAGGUCUGAUAGAAUUCUGCACUGAACCCAUCUGGACCUGCGCUCUUUUCGGUUGGUGUUGUUGUAAAAAUGU
rnacentral:lncRNA from 1 species